CGCCCCCCUCGCGCUAUGGCCGCGCCGUCGUGGCCGGUGGGGCUGCGGCCCCCUCUCGUGCGCCAUGGCCGCGCUGGGGCUGGGGGCUGCUGGCUGCUGACUGGGCGCGAGGCGCCGCCGCCGCACGUUCCCCCCUUCACCGUCCCUAGCCAGGCUGCGAAGCUUUCCUUCUUCUCUGUUGCUACUGCCUCCGUUUGAUUGAGAUUCAGUCUGGAUGUGGCUGCAGGUUCAUGGGGAGAUGGAGGUGCACCGGCGUGGUGGUUCUCAUCAUACUCUUGCUCUCGGUUGCUUCUCACGGAAGAGAGCUACCUAUCAAGAAGAGUGACCAGAUUUUUGUCUACAAUCACACUCUUGCAAAGACUAUUGUGGAAUAUGCUUCAGUGGUGUAUAUGUCAGACUUAACUGCUCUUUAUACAUAGACAUGCUCGAGAUGCAAUGACUUGACUCAAGGCUUUGAGAUGAGAUCUCUAAUUGUUGGCGUGGAGAACUGCUUGCAGGCGUUUGUUGGUGUAGCUCAUAAUCUAAAUUCAAUUGUCGUUGCAAUCAGAGGAACUCAAGAGAACAGGUGUUCGAACAAGUUGUUCAAUGAAGCUUGGAAAUGUAUGCAUCUAAACUGUUUGUAAUCUGAACCUACAUGAGUAAUCAUACAACAGCGAAGCUUUCCUUGUUUAGUCAUAUUAUGUUUUAUUUGAUUUAUGAAAAUUUUGUUCUAUUACAUUAAUAUAAAUAUAUUUGAAUAUCAUUUA